rnacentral:ncRNA from 1 species
GUACGAUAAUGGCAAACCCACUGAAAAGUGGCGACGCAAAGCUACAGGGGCUAAAGCGGAUCCCAUCCGCUAUGCCAGCCAGUUACCGAA